GCGGGGCGGCCCUCGCGCGGGGCUCCGGGGGCUUGUCGGGGGGCGGCUGCAGGCAGGGAAGAGCGCGGUGCCGGGUCGCCCCCGGGAAGCCCUUACGAGGCGGGAAUGAGAGGAGGGAGCGAGGGAGAUGCGGGAUGCCGGCGGGCGCGAGUGCGUGUGCCGGGGCGAGGGACGGCGGGAGAGGGGGAAUCUGAGGUAAAACAGUUCCCGUCUCGCCUCAGAUCUCCAGGUCGCACCCAGGAAGGAGCUGCUUCAUGCAACAGGGGAGAAUCUUCGGAAGUAGUUUGUACUGGGGUGCGGGAGGGGCAUCCUUGGCCGAAAUGCGGAAAGGCCGAGGUGACAGUGGUCCCAGAUGACCCAAGGGACGGUCACUAAAGGCCCACAGCGAAGGGCCCCGAUGGUGAGGCGCGGUGUGAGUUUGGAGUGGAAAUUUGGUGUUGGGGGCUGUGCUCUCCGGACCCCCGCGGGUCGGAUUCCGGAUGGGGUCGCCCAGGUGCCCACCAGGCUGGCUCGCCCUGCAUAGCCCAAGGCUGUAUUUUGUGCUGCGGGGGGAGGGGGGAGUUGUGUGUGUGUGAGUGAGUGUGUGAGAGUGUGUGUGUGUGUGUGUGUGUGUGUGUGGUGCUGAUGGUGGUGGAAGUGAUGGUGGCUUUUUCCAGGUGGAGACGACGACCCAGGUAUGGUGCAAGGGGCGCAAAUGGAGAUCUGCUUUCACCCAGUGGAUGGAAACUUCAAGAUCCCACCCCCCACCCCCUUUAAAAAAGGGAUAUGUGGCAUUUUUCCAACAGUGCUGAAGGCUGGGGGAAAUGUUAGCUGUUGGUGGUAAAAGCUUGGAUGAGGGGGUCCGUUUCAGGCUAAGACCGAUUCUGGUUGAUGUAGCUGGAAGUUAACCCAGGGCAUGAUGGGGUGGGGGGUUUGACUGGAGAAGGGCUUGAAGAAAUGAAGACGGACACUUGAUCUUCAGGAAUAUGAAAAAGGGCCUUUUUUUUGUUUUGUUUUGUUUCUCACAGGAGUGAGGUUGGGGACCGGACCCAACGGGGAGGCACAGAGGGCCCAUGAGGCUGUUAAUCUCCAUUUCCUCUUUGGGCUGCUUCCCAGCUUUUUCUCUAUCAUUUUCUCACUGGGAGCCCCAGAGGGAGGGUUGCAGAGAGAGAGGGUGUGGGCAGCGGCAUGGACAGGGGAAGUGAGAUGUGAAUGUGGGGAUGCCUUCCUGCUGGCAGCCGCUGUCACCAGUCUGCAUAGUUGUUUGGAUGCCUUGUUUGGUUGAUUUUUUCUCUUGAAGGCACAUACAAGAAGGCAGUGGGGGAAAUAGAAGAGAAUAUGACAGGCCAUUGACAGCCCCCUUAGGAGAAUCGCUGUAACUCAGUUCAAAUCAACAAGUGCUCAUUAAGGGAGAAGGGAAGGGAACCAAACUGUGUUGAACAUCUGUUAUACACCAAACCGUACUGGGUGCUCACAAUAGGUUAUCUCAUUGAAUUCUCACCACAUAACUGAGGCUUUGAAAAGGUAAGUACUGUUUUCAUACAGCCAGCGAAUGGUAGAAUCAGGGUUUGAAUUUAGGCCCCAUUUGAGUUCACUGUUCCCACUCCACUAUAUCACCUCACUAUUAUUAUAUUACUGGCCAUUUUAAUAAUAUGCUUCCUGUAGGGGCUAGGCAGCGUCGGGGGGGCUUUUAGAGAAUCACUCCAAUUUGGGAGAUAGAUUGACUGCAUGAAACAUUUAACAAAAGGAAAUCUAGAAUUAUUGCUGGGCACUUGUGUUUCAGUCAUUCAGUGAAUGGGGUGAUUGGUGGGAGCCAGUGUUACUGGAGAAGGCUUAACGCAGGUGAAUCUCCAAAGAAAGGCCAGGAAGAGGGAAGAAAUGAGAACGAUGUUGUUUGAUUUUUCUGUGCAAGAAUCUGACCUUUAUGCACCUUGUCUUGAUCUCCCAUCCUGUUGAAGGCAUUUGUUUCGGGUAUAAUUGCUAGUUAGGUAUCUACAGGUAGGUAGAUACUCAUUUGUAUGGUUAUGGUGAGGCUGCUGUAGGUUUCUGUUUAUAAAUGCCUCAGUGGCUUGAGAUUUGAAAGUCUCCUUGGAUAGUAUUAUUUUCUAGAAAGACAGACUUGCAUAAACCAGAGAAUUUGCCUUGCCCUGGAGACUAGAAUUCUAAUGGAAGUAAUAGAAGCUACUUUUUAUGUGCUUACUCCCAACUGUUUUCUGGUUUUCUCUGAAGUAACAACAUUAAUUUAUUAGAACUCAUAAGCCUCAUUUGAGUGCAGUGCUUGACAGCAGUUUUGUGCCUCUGUUUCUGUGCUUAAUAGCAAUUUCCAGAAUUUCAGAGUUUGUCUUCCAACAUAGUUCUAAAUUUGUUGUAAACAUCUCAGUUAAAUAUUGGUGAGUGCUUUUAUUGAAAGAUCUCUUUGAAUUAAGGAGCAGGUGCUUGCUUACGACAGGUACCAUAAUUUACAAAGGUGGUUUUUGCUCUGAAGGCUUAUUUUAGUAAAUACCUAGAUGGUAUUCACUGAGGAGGUAGCAUAUGAAGGAGCUAAAGAAGUUCUUGGAAAAGUAGAAUUUAAAGAUGGCGGGGGGGGGGGGGCUGGGACCAGCGCUGUGGCGUAGUGGGUAAAGCCACCACCUACAGUGCUGGCAUCCCGUCUGGGUGCUGGUUUGAGUCCAGGCUGCUCCACUUCUGAUCCAGCUGUCUGCUAUGGCCUGGGAAAGCUGUAGAAGAUGGCCCAAGUGCUUGGGCCUCUGCACCGGCAUGGGAGACCCAGAAGAAGCUCUAGGCUCCUGGCUUUGGAUCAGUGCAGCUCUGGCCCUUGUGGCCAACUGGGGAGUGAACAAGCAAAUGGAAGACCUCUCUCUCUUUGUUUCUCUCUCUGUCUCUCUCUCUUCUCUCUAUGUAACUCUUUCAAAUAAAUAAAUAAAUGUUUUUUAAAAAAGAAAGAUAAUGGAGGGUAGAGAGCAGGCAUUUAACCUAGCAGUUAAGACGCCUGAAUCCUGUAUCAGAGUACCUGGGUUUGAUAUUUAUAUCUGGCUUCUGACUUCAGCUUCAUGCAGUUUGUACUCUGGAAGGCAGCAGUGAUGGUUCAAGUGACUGGGCUCCUGCUACGCACAUGGAAGACUUGGAUUGAUUGUUCAGCUUUAGGCUUUGGCAUGGUGUAGGUCUAGCUGUUGCAUGCAUUUGGGACUCAAACAGUGCAUGGCAGCUCUCUCCCUUGCUGUUUCUCUCUUUCUGUCGCUCAAGUAAAUAUGUAAUUAGAAAUGUUAAAUGUGCGUUUUCUGUGAAAUUUCUGAAACCACCUCAUACAUGUCCAGUAUCAUUAUCCUGUGCUUGAGUAGGAAGGCAGAGUGUAGUCUCCCAGAGUAUUGGUUCCAUCUGAUUUAUAGAAUACUAAAAUAAAGAGGGCUUUAACAACCAUUUAAAUAAUUGGAGAUUUAAAAGAGUGCUUGAAACAGGUGACAUCUCAGAGCAUCCUUAGUACACAGCAGAGUCCUUUGAAUCUUUACCAGUAUAAUUGCAAGCAACAGAAUUUGUAGACUUCACCACUGACCAGGUUGAUGGGAAAACUGGAAGAGUUUUUCUUUCUUUAACUUGAAAUGUUUUCAUUGGUUGCUGAGAUCUUUAGACUAAUGGCAUACUAAAAGAUCAUUGAAAAAUUUAUUUGUGCUACACAAAAAAUGUAAUCAAGCUCAUUAUAUACUUCAUUAAUAUUAUUAAUGUUAGUUUUUAUGUUGCCAUGCCUUUUAAGGAUUGUAAUAAAUUUGAAGUGCAUCUUUCACAUUUAUGAUCUUUGUGCCUAAACAAAGAACAGAUGGCAUUUGAGUGUGUCUGUUUCUUCGGUAUAUUACAUUCUCACUGGUUAAAAGGUAAGUUUUCUCUCAGAUUCUUCCUUCCCUCCAUUCUAGAAAUUCUGACUCCAAUGACAAAGAGAGCUUUUCAUCGUGGGACUUCUCAGUUUUAAUUUGAAAUUCUGUACAGCAAAGGCACUCUUGAUUAUUUAGAGGUUGCAGAUAUGAAUAGUCAACAGGUGUUAACUGGGCAUCUUCUUUUUUAGGGUAUAUUUGUUGUGAAUCAAUGAGGCCUAGCAUCCGUCUUUUAGGAUCUAACUGUCCAGUGGGGAGGUAAAUUUAUAUUUUUGAAAAAAGGUGAUUACAAAUUACCUUUUGUAUUCAAAGUAUGGUCCUUGAGCCAAAGUAUUGAUAUCAACCAGUAGCUUUGUGAACUAUAGUAUCUUAGGUCCCACCUCAUGCCUGUGGAAUCAUAAUUUGCAUUUGAGCAAAACCCCCAAAUGAUUCAUAAUCACAUUAAAUUUGAGUUGUGAUGAACAAAUGGAUAUGUGAUUGGUGCUAUAGGUGAGACAACACCACCAACUACUGUUAUUUAUUGACCAAUUACUACAUGAGAGGUCUUCAAAAGUUGAUAGAAAAAUGCAUAUUAUGAAAAAGCUACACAUGGUUUUCAAAUUUUCUGUACCCAAAUUAUCUUUAAAAAAAAAGAUUUAUUUACUUGACAGGCAGAGUUAUAGAGAGGUAGAUGCAGAGAGAGAGAGAGUGAGAGAGAGGGGUUUCCGUCUGGUUAUUCACUCCCCAAAUGGCCGCAAAGACUGGAGCUGACCCAAUCCAAAGCCAGGAACCUGGAGUUUCUCUUGGUCUCCUAUGCAGGAACAGGGGCCAAGGACUUGGACCAUCUUUUACUGCUUUCCGAGGCCAUAGCAGAGAGCUGGAUCAGAAGUGGAGCAGCCAGGACUCUAACUGGUGCUCAUAUGGGAUGACCCCAAUUAUUUUUUAAUUCUGUUUUCUACAGACUUUUUGAAGUACCCUUGUAUGCAGAUGUUGUACUAUUCUCUUUACAAAUCUCAUUUAAUCUUUCUAACACCAAUGUAGUAUAGAAAUUUGUUUUAAAGAUUUAUUUAUUUAUUCAAAAGGCAAUUACAGAGAGAGGAAGUGUCAGGGAGAGAGACAAAGAGGCAGAGAGUGAGAGAGUGAGAGAGAGUGUUUGUUCUUCCAUUCACUGGUUCACUCCCCAAAUGGCCACAGUGGCUGGGAUUGGGCUAGGCUGAAGUCUGGAGCCCAUAUGGGAUGCUGGCAUUGCAAGUGAUAGUUAACCUACUGUACCACAACAUUGGCCCCAGUUUAGCAGUAGAAAGAGAUAGAUGUGGCUAGAGAGGGAAUGGAAGGCUCCACUGAAGAAGUAACAGCUAAACUAAGCUUUGAAGAGUUUGAAUCAGAAGAUGCAGACAUUGUCUAUUGGGAUCUUGCAGUCCAGUAGGGAGAUGACAGGUAUUUAAACAUGAUUGUAAUACAGGUGAUAAUUAGUAUGCAUAAAGUGCUAUCAGAACACAGAUAUGAAUUAUAUUGGAGAAUGAAAAUGUGGUUAGAAAUGUUUUAUAAAAAUGUGUUACCAUCUAGUACUUUUUAUUUAUUUAUUUAGUUGAAAAGCAGAGUUACAGAAAGGCAGAGGCAGAGACAGAUCUUCUAUCCACUGAUUCACUUCCCAAAUGGCUGCAAUGGCCUGAGUUGGGCUGAUCCAAAGCCAGGAGCCAGGAGCUUCUUCUAGGUCUCCCAUGUGGGUGCAGGGGCCAAGCACUUGGACCAUCUUCCACUGCUUUCCCAGGCACAUUACCAGGGAGCUGGAUCAGAAGUGGAGCAGCUGAGACUUGGAGCAGCUUUCCCUGCUGUGCCACAGUGCUGACCCUAAUGAUACAAUUUUUGAGUCAUUUCUUUCCAAAACUUUAGCUCUGUAAUUUUUUUCUACGUGGUAAGUCUUUGAAAGAAGAGACAGAUGUCUCUAAGUGACUAAACAUUUCCUUGAAUGAUAAAUUUGCCUUUGACUACUCCAUUAGGUACCUCCUUGCAAUAUUGGUACCAUGUGGUAUUGUGAGGAAAAAAAGGCUAAAUCUUGUUAUGUCUCCUGUGUGUGUCUUCAUCAACAAUGGAAGUUGGAAACUUGUGGUUGGGUUCCUCUCUUCCCAAUAAACCUGAGCACAUUUGUAUACAUAUUUUGAAUUGUUGGUGAAUGGUAUUUCUUGAUCCCUGCACUGUGCACAGUUUAUACAACAUGUUCUUACCUGUCAUCUCAUUUUAUCUUUGCAAUGAUCCUGAGCGUUGGGUAGAAUAACCGUUUCAUAGAACAGACUCAGAAAAGUAGUGAGUUGCUGGAAAUUAUGUAGCUACUAAGGUCAAGUAUCUGGAUCUGAACUUAGAUUAAUUGAUCUGCAAAAAAAAAAAAAAAAAAAAGCCACAUUUUCUGGCAGAAGAAUUAGGUGAUGGUUUUCUUUUUCUUAUAAAAAGAUUGUUUCUCUUGCAAAAAUCUUCACCAUAUGAUUAAUUUAAAUAGCAAACAUCCCACUGCUUUUGAAAAUUCUCAGUUUACAAAACUCGAUAGGCUAACAUUUUUUAAAGUUACUUUUUUAAAAUAUGAAUAUAGCCACUGCAGUUUUCUAAUUCUUCUCAUUGGUAUAUUGUAUCUUCUCCUUUACUGUUAUCUUUUUUUUUUCGAGAUUUAUUUAUUUAUUUGAGAGAUAGAGUUACAGACAGAGAGAGAGGGAGAGACAGAGAGAAAGGUCUUCCAUCCACUGGUUCACUCCCCAUAUGGCUGCAACAGCUAGAGCUGAGCCAGUCCAAAGCCAGGAGCUUCUUCUGGGGCUCAAGCAUUUAGGCCGCCUUCUGCUGCUUUCCCAGGCCAUAGCAGAGAGCUAGAUUGGAAGUAGGCAGCUAGGACUAGAACCAGCACCCAUAUAGAAUGCUGGUGCUGCAAGCAGAGGCUUUGCCCACAAUGCCACAGUGCUGGCCUCCGGUAGGCCAUGUUUUUCAGGAUCAGAUCCACCAGUUGGUGUGAGGGUAUGGUUAAUAUAGUGGCCAUAGGAUGGAGAACUGCAUCUGAUUUUUAAGUGUGUGUCUGAUGGUACUUCUACUAUGGGUGCACCUCUAAAAAUGAGUGAGACCUGUUCAUUAGGUGGCGGUGUCAUCUUUAAUUUUUGCUUUCUACAUAGAUGCAGUUGGGUGCCACAAGGCUAUAGUCUCUCUAGUCUCUCUCUCUCUCUUUUUUUUUUACAGGCAGAUUUAGACAGUGAGAGAUAGAGAGAGACAGAGAGAAAGGUCUUUCUUCCGUUGGUUCACCCCCCAAAUGGCCACCACGGCUGGCGCGCUGUGCCGAUCCGAAGCCAAGAGCCAGGUGCUUCUUCCUGAUCUCCCAUGCAAGUGUAGGGCCCAAGGACUUGGGCCAUCCUCCACUGCCUUCCCGGGUCACGGCAGAGAGCUGGACUGGAAGAGGAGCAACUGGGACAGAAUCCGGCACCCCAACCAGGACUAGAACCCGGGGUACCAGCGCCGCAGGUGGAGGAUUAGCCUAAUGAGCCAUGGCGCUGGCCUAUAGUGUCUCUCUAGAGAGUGGACAGGAUCAUCUAGAGGGCUUUCCUGUUUUUCUGACACUGCUGCAGUAAAGUGGGAAGAAGUAGGUUAGAACGGGGUAAGUUACCUAUGGAGAGAAUAAAGUGGGCCAGUAAUACAAGUCUGUGAACUCUUAAGGAUGGCCAUGCAGCGUGGGUGAUAAUAGGAGGAAGUAUACUAGUCUUGGUGGUUGCUACUUGACAGCAGUCAUUUCUGAUAUUUUAACCAGUUCAUAUAAAAUUGUAAAAUACACUGAAAUUAUACUCUUUUACCCUACCACUUUUCCCUGUUUUUAGCAGCAUGAAACAAUGUGAAGGUAUAGGAUUAAGGGUCAAAACACCCACGGUUGAGAUAUGGUACCACCAUUAGCCAUAUAACUAUUUUAGAGUUAUAUAAUGUCUUUUAGCCUUUAGCAAAUUUUCAUUGAGAGUCUGUUAAAUGCCACGUACCAUUCUAGUUCCUGGAGGGACACAUACAAACUUAGUUUUCUUAUCUACAAAUGGAGAUAAUAUGUAUAUGACAUAAACUGUUGUGAGAAUUAAGAUGAGCAUUUUAUGAAAAAUAACCAUAGUAGUUAUUGUUUUAUUUCCACAUUUUUAAAAGAGGAUUUAUUUUGUUUUAUUUGAAAGACAAAGUGUCAGAGAGAGAAAGAAAGACAGAAAAAGAGAUCUUUGCUUGUUCACUCUCCAAAUAGCUGCAAUGGCUGGGCUGGGCCAGGCCAGGCCAAAGCCAAGAGCCUGAAACUCUAUCUUGACUCCAUGUGGGUGUUAGGGGCUCAGGUACUUGGGCCAUCUUCUGCUGCUUUCCCAGGCACAUUAGUAGGGAGCUGGGUCUGAAGUGGAGUAGCUGACACUCUAACUGGCACUCAUAUGGGAUGCUGGCUUUAUAGGUGGCAGCUGCUUAAUCAUCUGCUUCACAUUUUCCUGUUUGUUAACUGCAGGUGCCCAAAUUAUCUUUUUUUUUUUAAAGAUUUAUUUAUUUAUUUUAAAGUCAAGAGUUACAGAGAGGAAGAGGAGGGGAGGAGAGAUAGAAAGAGAUAUCUUCCAUCCUCUGGUUCACUCCCCAGAUGGCUGCAAAUGCUGGGGCUGGGCCAGGCUGAAGCCAGGAGUCAAGAGUUUCUUCCAAUAUCCCACGUGGGUGCAGGAACCCAAGUGCAUGGACCAUCUUCUGCUGCUUCCCCAGGCACGUUAGCAGGAAUCUGGAUCGAAGGUGGAGCAGCCGGUCUCAAACCAGUGCCUAUAUGGAGUGCCAGCAUCACAGAUGGUAGCUUUAACUGUUAUGCUACAAUGCCAGCCGCAACCCCAACUUAUCUCAAUCCCUUUUUGAAUUUCCAAAUUUUAUCAUGUGAUUAUUUAUUGGUAGAGUUGGGGAAUUUUUUUUAAAUUGAAUACCACUAGCUCAGAGACAGUAUCAUUUAAGACAUUAUUUGUUUUUUUGGUUUUUUUUUUUUGUAAAAGGCAGUGUAAUUUAGUUUUUUUUAAAAAAGAUUUAUUUUUCUAUUUGAAAGACAGAGCCUCAGAGACGGGGAGAGAUCAAGAUUUUUCAUAAGUUGGUUCAUUUGCCAAAUGGCCACAGCAGCCAGAGAGCUGAGCCAGGCUGAAGCCAGGAACCAAAACUCCGUCUAUCCCAGUCUGUAAAAUACAUAGUAGAGGCCCAAGCACAGGGCCAUCAUCUGCUGCCUUCCCAGGCACAUUAGUCGAAAGCUGCAUAGGAAGCAGAAUAGGUGGGACUCAAACUAGCACUCCAAUAUGGGGUUCCAGAACUGUGUCACCACACUGACCCCAGUUUUUUAUUUUAUUAUUUUUUUUAAAGAUUUACUUAUUUAUUUGCAAAUGAGAGUUACAUAGAGAGAGGAGAGGCAGAGAGAAAGAGAGAGAGGUCGUCCAUCCGAUGGUUCACUCAAGCCAGGAGCCAGGAGCUUCUUCCGGGUCUCCAAUGUGGGUGCAGGGGCCCAAGGACUUGGGCCAUCUUCUACUGCUUUCCCAGGCCAUAGCAGAGAGCUGGAUUGGAAGUGGAGCAGCCAGGUCUUGAACUGGUGCCCAUAUGGGAUGCCGGCACUUCAGGCCAGGGCAUUAACCCACUGUGCCACAGCACCAGCCCCUUUUAUUAUUGUUUUUUAAAAUUUUAUUUAUUUGAAAGGUAGAGUUGGGGAUGGGGAGAGAGUGAUAUUCCAUCGACUGGUUCACUCCCCAAAUGGCCACAAUAGCUGAGGCUGGGCCAGGCCCAAGCCAAAAGCCUGGAAUUCCAUCUGGAUCUCCCACAAGGGUGGCAGGGGCCCAAAUAGUUGGGCCAUCUUCCAGUGCUUUCCCAGGUGCAUAAGCAGGGAGCUGGUUUGGGAGUGCAGCAUCUGGGACUUGAACCUGUGCUUAUAUUGGAUGCUGGCUUCCCAGUUUAACCUGCUGUAACGCAACAGUGACCCCAUUAUUCUUAUUCUUAUUUUUUAAAGAUUUACUUUUUUAUUUGAGAGGUAGAAUUAUAGACAGAGAGAGGGAGAGACAGAAAGAAAGGUACUCUGGUUCACUCUCCAUAUGACUGCAAUAGCCUGAGCUGGGCUAGGCCAAAGCCAGGAGCCAAGAGCUUCCUCUAGGCCUCCCAUGUGGGUGCAGGGGCCCAAGCACUUGGGCCAUCUUCCACUGUUUUCCCAGGCCAUAGCAGAGAGCUGGAUCAAAAGUGGAGCAGCUGGGAUGUGAACCGGUGCCCAUAUGGGCUGCUGGCACCGCAUGUGGAGGAUUGGCCCUCUGCACCACAGUGCUAGUCCCGUUAUUAUUUUAAAUAAGAUAAACAUUACCCAUUUAACUCAGCUAUAUUUAAUAAUUGUGGACAGUACCACAGAUAUUUAUUUUUUUAAAUUUUUAUUUUGUUCUUCUGAAUGCUGAGAGAGAGAGGGAGAAAGACCCUUCCAUUGUUUUGCUCCCUAAAAGCCCACAACAGCUGGGUCUGGGCCAGGGUGAAGCUAGGAGUGAGGAACUCAGUCAAGGUCUUCUUCCACUUGAGUAACAGGAACCCAACUCCCUGAACCCUGACUUGUUGCCUCCCAGAGUGCGAAUUACCAGGAAGCUGCACUGAGAGAGGAGCUAGCACUGAAAUCCAGGCACCCAAUAUGGAAAGUAGGUAUCCAAAGAGAUGUCUUACCUGCUGUACCAGCAGCCAUCCUGAUUUUUUUUUAAAUAAAUUAAUUCUAAGAUAGCUUUGCUGAACUUUCACUUGUAACUAAUUAAGGAACAGUGGCUACAGAAGGAAAUGAGGGAAGAAAAAAAUAUAAAAGGUGUGGUACCUAUAUUUUCCCUACACAACUCAUCUUUUACAUUCCUUUUGGAGUUUUUUUUUUUUUUAAAUAAAGAUUGAUUUAUUUAUUUGAAAGGCAGAGUUAGAGAGAGAGAGGGAGAAGAAGAGGCAGAGAGAGCUCUAAUAUCCAUUGGUUCAAUCCACAGUGGCCAGAGCUGGGCUAGUCUAAAGCCAGGAGCGAGGAGCCCAGGAGCUUCUUCUGGGUCUCCCUUGUGGGUACAGGAGCCUCAGGACUUGGGCCAUCCUCUGCUGCUUCCCAGGCACAUUAACAGGGAGCUGGAUAGGAAGUGGAGCAACCAGGACUUGAAUUGGUGCCCAUAUAGGAUGCUGGUGCUGGAGGUGGCAGCUUUACCUAUUACGCCACUGCAGUAGCCCCAUGGAGUAUUUUUUUUUUUUUUUUUGACAGGCAGAGUGGACAGUGAGAGAGAGAGACAGAGAGAAAGGUCUUCCUUUGCCGUUGGUUCACCCUCCAAUGGCCGCCGCGGCCGGCGCGCUGCGGCCGGCGCACCGCGCUGAUCCGAUGGCAGGAGCCAGGAGCCAGGUGCUUUUCCUGGUCUCCCCUGGGGUGCAGGGCCCAAGCACCUGGGCCAUCCUCCACUGCACUCCCUGGCCACAGCAGAGGGCUGGCCUGGAAGAGGGGCAACCGGGACAGAAUCCGGCGCCCCAACCGGGACUAGAACCCAGUGUGCCGGCGCCGCUAGGCGGAGGAUUAGCCUAGUGAGCCGCGGCGCCGGCUUAAAACAACUUUUAGAAACAUUUCAUGGUCGGGGCCGGUGCUGUGGCACAGCAAGUUAACGCCCUGGCCUAAAACGCCGGCAUCCCAAAUGGGUGCCGGUUCAUGUCCCUGCUGCUCCUCUUCUGCUCCAGCUCUCUGCUAUAGCCUGGGCUAGCAACUGAAGAUGGCCCAAAUCCUUGGGCCCCUGCACCCACAUGGGAGACCUGGAAGAAGCUCCUGGCUCCUGGCUUCGGAUCAGCGAAGCUCCGGCUGUUGCAGCCAUCUGGGGAGUGAACCAGCAGAUGGAAGACCUCUCUCUCUGUCUACCUCUUUCUGUAACUCUGUAUUUCAAAUAAAUAAAAUAAAUCUUUUAAAAAAAUAUUUCAUGGUCAAGCAUCAAACACUGCUGUGUCUGGCACAGCAGUGAAGAAGCUGAUUGGGAUGCCCAUAUGUUAAGAGUGCCUGUUUUUAAGUCCCAGCCCUGCUUCCAGUUCCAGCUUCCUGCUAGUGCACAUCCUGGGAGAAGUGGUGAUAGCCCAAGCCCAGCCACCCAUGUGGGAGAUCCAGAUGGAGUUCCUGGCUCCUAACUUCUGCCUGGCUCUGCCUUGGCAAUUGUGGACCAUUUAGGAAGUGAAUCAGUGGAAGGAAGAUUCUCUCUCAAUCCUCAAUUUCUCUCUCUUGCCCCUCUCUUCCCUCUCAUUUCUUUUCUCCCCUCUUGCCCACUUCCAAAUAAAUUUUUAAAAAAGAUAGAACAUUUGAGGCCGGCGCCGCGGCUCACUAGGCUAAUCCUUCGCCUUGCGGUGCUGGCACACCGGGUUCUAGUCCCGGUCGGGGCGCCGGAUUCUGUCCUGGUUGCCCCUCUUCCAGGCCAGCUCUCUGCUGUGGCCAGGGAGUGCAGUGGAGGAUGGCCCAAGUGCUUGGGCUCUGCACCUGCAUGGGAGACCAGGAGAAGCACCUGGCUCCUGGCUUCAGAUCAGCAUGGUGCGCUGGCCGCAGCGGCCAUUGGAGGGUGAACAAACGGCAAAGGAAAACCUUUCUCUCUGUCUCUCUCACUGUCCACUCUGCCUGUCAAAAAAAAAAAAAAAAGAUAGAACAUUUGAAUAGUGCAGUUAAUAGGCAUGAUCAUUAGACCAGGUAGGUGUAUAGAUUCUGUACCCAACAGUUAGGGAACAUACAUCAUUUUGAAACACACAUGAAACAUUUUUCAAAACAAAAUACCAAAAUGUAAAACAACUUAGAAGGAAGAAGUUGUGAUGAUAUAGGUGAGCAUUACCUUGAUUUUCCUUUUAAAUCUUUUCUUGAUUUGGAGCAUUACCAACAUUAAAUGAGCACAAUACAUAUAAUCAUUGUUUAUGAAGCUUUGCUCAUCCCUUUGAAACUCAUCCAUUGUUUCCAUUGCAGACCCUGACAUGAAUUGAGAGGGAACUGCUUGUGUCUUUGACAACAUAAUUGAAUUCUAUGAGCAAUCUGAUUUCAGCUGUUCAUCAAGUUUAAAUUAGGAGAAUGCCAGCUCAUGCAAUGGCUGCAAUGUUAGACAAGGACUUUGAAGUAAGACAAGCAGGAAUUUUUAAAUUCUGGGAAGAAUCCUUCCUCCAGCACCCUUGACCUUUAACUUAGACCACUUUGUAUAUCCAAAAGUCUGGGGAAGUAAUUAUUAGCUUUUCCGAACAUAUGUCACCUCCACAUUGCCAGAAAUCACCCCCACACCCUGAGUCACUAAUGCCCUUUUACUUACACUAAUAUUUGGAGGACAGUUUACAUCUAACAGAUGUUUGAGUAAUGGAAUAGGCAGGAAAGAGGGAAAAGAAGAUCCAUGCUUUCUAGGGUGUUUGUGCUAGGUAGAUGGCAAAAAGGAAAGAAAACUCGGUAUCAAAAGAUAGCUCUGCCUUAGGACAACUCUGACUGUUUGUAAAAGAAGAAAACAUUAUUUUUAUGUGAUUGGCAGAGUUACGGAGAGAGGCGGGGCGGGCAGGGAAUCUUCCAUCUACUGAUUCACUCCCCAAAUGGCCACCAAGAACUGGAGCAGGGCCAGACCGAAGCCCAGAGCCAGGAGCUUCUUCCAGGUAUGCCACGUGGGUGCAGGGGCCCAAGCACUUGGGCCAUCUUCUACUGCUUUCCCAGUGCAUUAGCAGGGAGCUGGGUUGGAAGUAGAGCAGCAAGGAAUUGAACUGGUGCCCAUAUGGGAUGCCAGUGUCACAGGCAGCUGCUUUACCUACUAUGCUACUGGCCUCAGAAUUCUGCCUACUAGAUAUUCUAGAUUUACUGGAUCCCAAGAGUCUUAAGAGCAGUUUAAUGCCUGGCAUAUUAUAAAUAAAUACUGAUAUUUGUAUUACCACGACUGAAAAACAACAUUAGGAAUUAUAUGUAAGGAUUUUAAUUUUAUGUUUAAAUUCUUGGUAUUUAAAAUAGUUUAUCAUUUAUACUAUAGUUGUAAGUACAUAUUUAGGCAAAUAAACAAAAGAAUGAGAGUUAAUUAUGUGGUCACUCAACUGAUUAUUAGGUAGCAUGAUAUAUUUUUUAAAAUCUGUAAUUCAGUUUGUAAUUUGUAGUUUUGGAGGGUCUUCUAGUGCUUUUCAAAAAAUUGUUGCCUUAAAAGCAAAAUUUUGCAAAUUACUUAUUCACAUACACAUCUUUUAUAUUUUCUCCUGUUAUAAACAAAGGAACACUAGAAUGCAAAAUAAAAGUUGGGUUUAGAUCUUGGCCUGCCACUUGCUAGCUUAGAGUGUGUAUGUGUUUGUAUGUUUUAGGGUAUGAGGACAAGUUGUAAAAUAAUUCAGUGUCCUGUACUUCUAUUUUAUGUACUAUUCAACUUCAAACAUGGUAUUUCAUAUAACUAUGUGCCUUAUACAUUUUGAUUCCAGAUACUCAGCAGAAGUAUUCCAAAAUGCUUGAAGUUAGGCAUCAGAGAGGUUAAUCAUGUCCUACUAGCAUCCAGCUGGACACCAACACAGCUAGACAGAUUUAUCUUUGGGAUUGAAAGUCUGUGGCCCCAGGACUGUCUAAUACUUAUGUUUUCCUUCCUGCUUAAGCUUGUUAACCUGUAGUUUUGAGUGAUGCGUGUUAUUAUUGCAGUGUAAUGACAUUUGCUCAGCCUUUAUUGACGAUCUGCUCAGAAAAUAGAUGAGCAGACAUCCCAUCAGAAAGCUUGCUGUGAUGAUGUCUCUGCAAUCAGCCUGGCUAAUGUGAUUCUGUGUAGUUCGGUUGCUCAUGCUCAUCUGCGAGACCAUUCCCAUCUGCAGUGACUCAUGCGGAGCUUCCGGAAUAUGGCGCUGUGUUUUAAAGAGUGCCGUGUGAGGAGGCCCAGUCUGACUUAUUCAUGGAUGGCCUUUCAGUGCAGCAGGAGGCCUAACUCAAAAAAGCAUUUUUCUACCACAGAACACCCAAUGAAUCUAGUAGAACACAGUUUGAAAAAAGGUUGGUUUCUUCUAAUAUAAGAAAGUGAGACCAGCUCUGCAAAGAAUCAGAGUGCUUCUAUUAUAAGUAACUUUAGAAAUCAUCUGAUUGAAUUACUUUGUAACAACUUUAGAAAAAGAGGCCCUUGGGAAUUGAUAGUGAGUUGGUAACAGAGUUUGAAUGAGAAUAAUUCAGAUGUCAUGUGUCUUAUUUGCUUUUUCUGUAAUGCAAUUUUUAGCAAACUGAUAAAAUCACUUAGUUACUAUGAGCCUAAACACUUUUUAAAUUUAAGAUGACCUUAACUUUUUUUAAAAAAGAUUUUAUUUAUUUCUUUGAGAGGUAGAGUUACAGACAGAGAGAGGGAGAGACAGAGAGAAAGGUCAUCUAUCCACUGAUUCACUCCCCAGAUGGCCGCAACAGCCAGAGCUGGGCUGGUCCAAAGCCAGGAGCCAGGAGCCAGGAGCUUCUUCCACCGGGUUGCAGGGUCCCAAACAGUUGGGCCAUCUUCUACUGCUUUCCCAGGCCAUAGGCAGAGAGCUGAAUCAGAAGAGGUGCAGCAGGGAUUCCAACCAGCUCCCAUAUGGGAUGCCAGUGCCGCAGGUGGAGGCUUAGCCUACUACACCACAGCGCAGACUCCUAUGACCCAUAUCUUUAUAAUCAACAGUUUCAGUUUGGAGAAGACUGGGAAAAGGGAUUUGAUUUUAAAUAUUUACUGUUUCGUUGUUGUUGUUUAAGGAAUGUCACACCAUAGUUAGCUUUUCCCAAUUCCAGUUUCAUUCUUUUUGAAUACAGAAUUUCUCUUUUUAGAAAAGGGCCUCAUCUUCUCCUUCCUUUCCCAGCUGGAGUAAAAGUUAUUAAGUCAUCAGACUCUAUUGUGAACUAAUUCAACUAUUUUUAAAACCCUGUGCUAUAGGAAUGAGCGUUCCAAGUAGAAUCCUGCAUCCUUCAUAAAUUAUUAAUGAUUGGGGUUUUUGUAUUUUGUGGGCUUUUUUAAAAGCUAUAAUCAGUUUAGGAGUCAGUUUUCUUGGAGUUUUUCCUUAUCAUCUUCUUAAAAAAGAGAGGGAGGAAAUAGGUGAAAAUUUUGAGGAGGGGAUUAUAGGGAGAAAACUCAAAUACCUGAACCUAAUGUGGUCAUACACUAAAUAGUUCUUUUUCUGUAGGUUGUCCCUGCUGACAGCCAGCUCUGCCAACCAUAAAUACCCAUACCUUUAUAUUUUUAAGAUUUUCUAUUCUUGUUUUUUCUUUUAAAAAAAAAAAACUAUUAGAAACACAGAGAGAGACAGAGAUACAGAGACAAGAGUUACAGAGAUCUUCGACUUGCUGAUUCACUUCCCAUAUGCUUGCAACAGCUAGGGCUGGGCCAGGCUAAAGCCAGGAGCCAGAAACCCAAUCCAGGUCUCUCAUGUGGGCGGAAGGGACUCAAGUACCUGAGCCAUCAACUGCUGCCUUCCAGGGUGCACGUUAACCGGAAGUUGGAUCCCAAGUGAUGGCAGGACUCGCACCCAGGCACUCCAGUAUGGGAUGGGGGAACCCAGUGACUUCACUGCAGCAAACGUCUGCCCACUCGUGCGUCUUUGUACCAGAACGUUCUGUUAUCAGAUAUCAUUUUAAGGAAAUAUUUUAUAGGAAAUUGAGAUGGACUGGACCCAGAAUAGGAACAUGGUUGGAGGUCUGGAACAUGGAGAAGUGUGGGGCGAGAAACAGAAGUAGGUACAGGAGACACAGCUGAUAGACACAGCGGUGGAGGUAGCCCGGCCUUUGACGUCAUCAGUAUUCUUGAUUUUGAGCUUCGUCAUCUUGGAAAGGCGUUUACUCUCCAGACUUGUUAUCUGACCUCUAAACUAAGUAUAUUACCACCUAUUUACCUAUUUCAGGAUUAUGAAGAUUAUAUAAAUUGAAGUAUGGUUAUUUAUUAUACAAGGGGACUUCAAAAAUGAAUUGGAAAUGUGUAAUAUGAAAAAACUAUAGAUUUUUUUAAGAAAUUUUGUAUCAAAAUAAACUUAUCUUUUAAUUGUGUUUUCCAUGAACUUUGUGGAGUAUCUGCGUGUUAACCAAUUCCAUUAGACUGCCUGUGGGAUAUGAUUGAGGAACUCUCUUACCUUCUCUUUUUCUUUGAAACGUUUACGCUAACUAGGUAACAUCAGAAAUCCAGUAAGCAUGUUUUUGCUUUAAUAUAAAAAAGAAAGGAUUAGAUGAUGGCAACAAUAAAAAGGACAGCUAACAUUUAUUGUCACAAUGUGCCAGGUGCUAUGCUAAGUAUGUAUAGACCAUAACUCCAUUAUAAUGAUUUCCAUUUAAAAAUGGAAAAACAGAGGAAAGAUGAAAAGAGAAUUGGCAUUCACACUGAGGACUUAAUGAAUGCAACACUUCGCAUACUUCCUUCUUAUAUUCCAGCAAAAAUACGUUACCAUCAUCUCGGCUCUAUUCUCUUUGAGGCCGUUCCUGACAACUUCACACUAAGAUUCAGCUAAUUCAUCUUAUGUCCUUUUUUAGCAUGGUUUAACCACCCCUGCCAACUGAAUUGUGACAUGGGCUACUUAGAUUUGGUUUUAAUUAAGUUCACAAUUUGGAGGCGGCUGUCCUAUGCUCAGACCAAGCUUGCAACUUUGGCGAACACAGACAUACAGGCCAUGCUUUCGAACAAUUGCAUGGACUUAGCUUUUGGUCAUCACGGUGACCUGUAUAGUCUUUGUUAAUCACUGUACAUACUUGAGAUCUUCAAAAAGUUAAUGGAGCGGGCGGUGUUGUGGCGUAGCAGAUUAAGCUACUGCCAGCAUCCUGUAUGGGUGCUAGAUUGUGUCUCAGCUGCUCCAUUUCCCAUCCAGCUGUUUGCUAAUGUGCCUGGGAAAAAAAGUAAAAAUGGCUCAAGUGUUUGGGUCCCUGCCACCCACAUGGGAGACCCAGAUGAGGCUCUGUCUUCAGACUGGCCCAGAACCAGUCACAGCAGCCAUUUGGGGAAUGAGCCAGUAUAUGGAUCCCUUUCUCUCUCUCUCUCUCUCUCUCUCUCUCUCUCUCUAACUCUGCCUUUCAAAGAAAUAAAUCUUUUUUUACAAAGUUAAUGGAAAAGACAUAUUAUAAAAAUGUACACAUGGAUUUUAAGAUUUUUUUUACACUAAAACAAACUUAGUUUUUUAUACCAUUUUUCCACAAACUUUCUGAAGUACCCUUGUGUUCUGUAGAUGAGAGCUCUAAAGCUGAAAAAGAAGAAAAUUUUCAGCCAGGAGCACAGCAUACCACUAAGGAAGAGUAGACGGAAACAGAAACCAGUUUCUUCUGCCUUAAAUUGAAAACUCGUUACACUGUGUUUCAGCUGCUUGCAUGGAUAUUUUGCAAUGCGCUUUUUAAGAAAUGAUUGCUGGGGCAGUUGUUUGGCCUCGCGAGUCAAACAGCCAGUUGGGAUACCCGUAUCCCGUAUCAUAGUGCCUGAGUUCAAGUUCUGGCUGUGCUCCUAAUGCCAGCUUCUGCUAAGACAUACCCUGGGAGGCGCCAGGGGAAGGAUCAGGUAAUUGGGUUUCUGCCACCAUGCGGGAGACCCAAUUCAGGUUUCUGGCUCCUGGUUUCAACCUGGUCAAUUCUAGCCUUAAUAAGGCAUUUGGGGAGUGUGAACUAGUGGAUGUGAGUGUGCAUAGUCUCCCUCUGAAAUAAAUAAAUGAAAACAAGUAAGUAAAUGCUUUAAGAGUUAAGUUGUAUCAAGUUGGUAUAUGGUAUAUGCUGUGGCACAAAUAGUAAAUGCUAUGGCAGUCCAGAGAAGAAAGAUCAUCGUGGACUAUGAUGAACAGGUGGACUUUCUAGAGUAUGUGAGACCUAAACUGGGCCUUAAGUGGAUUGAAGAACUAUCAAGAGAUUCUGUAGUGCUCUUCUGAGUGACAAGGUUUUUCUGUGCAGAGGACUUUGUGCAAGUUCUAAGUUCAGAGGUUAUGAUCUUGUCUGUGUUAUCCUGAAGAAGCAUUUCACCCUCUCUGUUCCAAUCUCUAGGAAUGAUUAUGGCCAAGAUCACCAUCCUUUUUCUAUGCGUUAACAUCUUUCUGUAGUACUUUUUCUCCACCAGAGUAUUCCUAAGAAGGGAGUAUAUUUAUGACCCUGGCCUUAACUUGAAAUAUUUUAAGCCUUAUAUUUUAAUUUUUGAAUACAUAUAAAGCCUGCAUUCCACUCCAUAAUAUUUGUAAUUGUUUGAUGUUAAACCUGUUUUUAAAAGGAAGAAAAAAACCCUUUGAAUGAAAAUGACUUUUCAGGGAGGCUGGUUGUAUUUAAUUUUUUAAAAAAUUAAAAUAUGAUUCGUAGAACAUAAAGUUAUUCCAGAGAGUUUUAAAGUGUACAGCUCAGCGGCAUUUAAUAUGUUCACAGUGUUGUGCAGCCACCCCACUCUAGCUCCAGCACGUUUCCAUCACCCCAAGAGGAAGCUCUUGGCACAUUCAGCGUUCAUUCUCCAUGUCCCCUCCCCCGCCCUGCCAGCCCCUUAAUCUGCCUUCUAUUUCUGGAUUUAAUCUGGAUUUUAAAUUCAUAUUAUAUAUUACUUAAUAUAUAAUAUAUAUUUUUAAAUAUAUUAUUUUUUGUUUGAGCAUCUGUUUUCAGUUCUUCUGGGUAUAUACCAAGAAAGAGAAUUAGUGGGACAUAUGUAACUCUAUAAUUAACCUUUUGAGAAACUGCCGGACUGUUUUCUGCUGUUGCCACAGUACUGUACCAUUUUACAUUCUUCCACCAGUGUAUGGGUUUGCAUUUCCUCACAAGCUUGCCAACACUUCCUUUGGUUUGAAUGAUUUGUCUGUAGACAUUUCGCUGUGGGUAUGAAGUGAUACACCUCAUUGGAGUUCUGAUUGCCUUCCCCUAAUGACUAAUGAUGUUAAGCAUCUUUCUGUGUACUUUUUGGCCAUUUGCACACGUUAUUUGAAGAAAUGUCUGUGUAAGGACUUUGCCUCUUUCAAAAUUGGGUUAUUUGUGUUUUUAUUGUUGACUUGUAAGCGUUCUUCAUGUAUUUCUGGAACUAAGACACUUAUCAUAUACUUGAUUUCCAAGUAUUUUCUCCCAUUCUAUGGGCUUUCUUUUCACUCUUUUGAUAAUAUCCUUUUAUGCACAAAAUAUGUUUUCUGGAUGAAGUCUAAUUUUCUUCUUUGGUUAUUUGUGCUUUUAGUGUAUAUCUAAGCAAUCAUUGCCUAGUUCAAGUUUCAUGAAAAUGUACCCCGUGUUUUCUUCUGUCAGUUUGAUAGUUUGACCCUUUGGUCUUUGUUCCAUUUUGAGCCAAUUUUUGUGUAGUGUUUUAAUGUUAAUAAUAGAAUCCAAGUGGUGGGUUCUUUGUAAAAUCCUUUCAAGUCCCAGAUUUGCUGGAUGUUUGAGAUUUUCCAUAAUAAGAUUAUUGAAGGGGAAGAAAACUAAAAUUUAGGUACUGACUAGUUUCUCUUACACUCACCUUCUCCAUAGCUUCCUACGGUGGGUGUAAUGGGAGAUAGAGGCAAAUGCUGGGUAGGACGAGUACAGCAGACAGCAUUCAUCCAGGCCAAGCCAGCAUGUUACCUUCUAGGAACUCCUAACUCCUCUGUUAGCCUGUGACUUCCUCUGUUCCAUUGCACAGGGUUUGUCCUCAAGAAACUUGUCCCUCUGUCCUCAGUUUUAUCCCUAAUUACUCUUUCUGUUGGAAAAGUGUAUUGUUAUCCUGGAAUGAUUUCAUCUUUUCCAUUCCCACCCCCACUCCCACCCCCCACGGCCAGAAAAAAGAUCCGGUUUUCAUGUGAACAAGGGCACUUCUGCAGAUUGAAAACUCGAUCGGGAAGAAGAAAACUUGCUUUUGUAGAGUAUACUCAGCCUGGUCAGGGCUUGUGCCUAUUGGUAUUUAACAGCUGCUAAUUUCUUGGACCAGAACUAGGAUCCAGAGCUCCCUAUUCCACCUUAUCAUAAUGCUGCUCUUUAGGACCUAGAAGACAAUCUGGUGGAGUUUUGGAAGUCUAGGAUAUAUUUCACCACUGGAGCCCUGCUGUGUGGCAAGCCACUACUUUAGAACCCAGCCCUGGAGGUCAAAUCAGUUUUAGGGGGAAGAGAGAAUACAGCUCAGUCUCAGUUACUGCAUAAGAAUGGUUUCAACUCUCAUAUCUUUUUGUUUGUUUAUUUGUUUUUAAGAUUUAUUUAUUUAUUUGAAAGGCAGAGUACAGAGAGGGAGAAACCCAGAGAAAGGUCUCACAUUCACUAAUUCACUCUUCAAAUGGCUGCAACGGCUGGGACUGGGCCAAGCUGAAGCCAGGAUCCAGGAGGUUUAUCCAGGUCUCCCACGUGGGUGGCAAGGGCCCAAGCACUUGGGCCAUCUUCUGCGUUUUCUCAGGCACAUUAGCAGAGAUGUGCAUCGGAAGUGGAGCAGCCAGGACUCAAAUUGGCACCCAUAUGGGAUGCUGACGUCACAGGUCACAGGCAGAACCUUAACCCACUGCACCACAGUGCUGGCCAAAUCCUCCUAUCUUUAGAUUUUUUUUACUACUUUACCUAAAAAAGCACCAACCACCCUCCUGCUAUGAAAAGCAUGAAUUUCUGUGCCACAUGUCGGAUGAAACCCUUUAGGGUUCAGGAAUCCCCUGUCAUCCUUUAUUCAGUCUGUAUUUAAUAACCUACUCAAAGGUCCUUUUUAAACAGCCAGUUCCUGAGAAAAGGUGAGGGAACUCCAGGUCUGACUUAUAUACGACCUUAAAUCCCACAGGGUUCUGGCUGGUGGUCUGAUUUUACAUUUGGAAGGGAGAUUUUGUUUUGGGGUUACUGUCUUAUUCCCCAAAAGAGAAUUCCUUUUUCUCUAGCCCUUGGUACCAUAUAUAGCACAUAGUAGGCAUUUGGAUUUCUGAUCAACUGGGUAAUAGUUAGCUUCCACACAGCAGGGUCUGGACUUGCUCAUCUCUAUAUGCCAUCCCCUAGCUUUGUGCCUCCUAGCAUACAAUAGGUAUUCAUUAACUUUUUAAAAGAAUCACAUUGAGAUUUUUUCCCCCUUCAUUUUGGGUAAAUGCCUGUCCUUUUAAUCAAGCGUUUCUCAGCCAAGAGUGUCAGAGCCCCGAGUGAGUCACUGAGUCAGGAUCAGAGGGUUAAUGAUAGCCCAGAAAAAGAUGUACUGAGCUCAUCAGCUGAUUCGUGGGGCUACAUGUCAGCUCUUUGGGGGCGGUGGCCUAGAUAAAUUGAAGCCUGACUGUAAUGAAUGCAUAGCUCCCAGACAGGAAAAACUGUGAGUCUUGUGGAAUUCCUGGGGAAAGGAAAUGGAAAACUCCUUUCAUCAGAUUUCUGUUCUUGUUUGUUUUUUAAGAUUUAUUCAUUUAUUUUGAGAGGCAGAGUUACAGACAGACAGAAGGAGAGACAGAGAGAGGUCUUCCCUCUGCUGGUUCACCCCCCUCCCCCAAUGGCUGCAACUGGGCCAAUCUGAAGCCAGGGGUUCUUCCAGGUCUCCCACAUGGGUGCAAGGGCCCAAGCUCUUGGACCAUCUUCUGCCUUCCCAGGCCAUCAGCAGGGAGCUGGGUCGGAAGUGGAGCAGGAGGCACUCUGUGUGGAAUGCUGGUGCCACAGGUGGAUGCUUCAUUUACUACACCACAGCACUGCUCUUCUUGAUUCUGAGGUGGCUUACGAGGGUGCUGUGUUUCAGCUUGCUGGUGUGGAAAGGAGGAGCAUAACCAGAACAAGACUGGGAGAAGGAAACAGAACGAGGGAAAAGUGAAAGAGGUAGCUUCUGAAUAUAAUGAGAGAGAACGGUGAAAUAGUAGUGGGGCGGGAGGAGCAGAUCCUGGUUUUGUGAUUGGUUCCUGAUCUGGUGCUAAGUGUAGAGCUGUUUCCUCUGCGUGGCCAGAUGUCCACUCUGUUAGUUUUGACUUCAGCAGUUACCAUUCUCACAACCCUUUUCUAGCCUUGCAUGACCUCGGGAUCCAGAGCAAGCUUUGCACGUUUUGUGGAGAAAGAUAAGAAGAGGCGUUAAGCGAUAGCAAUCCUUUCCACACGAAAGAUUCUCAGAGGAGUUCCUGGUAUUUUAGAGGGUUCCCUCUUGUUGAUUACAAAAGUCGCUGUUAACUCUAGAUCUUCUUGAUUGAAGUUUAACCUCAAGAAGAAACAGAGGUCAUUGCAGGAUCAAUGACACCCAGGAAUUUUCCGUAGAACUGUUGAGUGGAAGUUAUGUAAAAUCAGCACAGUUGCUUGUAACUCCAUGCCUGUUUCCCCACCUUCAUGGAGGUGUGAAAAGACUUGAGAUUUAGCAUCACUGUAGUAUCUCCUGACUCAUAAAACAUUAAAUGUAGGAUCAUUGGAUACAGUUUUUAUUUAUUUAUUUGAAAGAGUUAGAGAGGGAGAAACAGAGAUCUUUCAUCCACUUCACUCUCCAAAUGGCCAUAGUGGGUUUCCCACAUUGGUGCAGGGGCCCAAGGACUAGGGCCAUCCCCCGCUGCUGUCCCAGGUGUACUAGCAGGGAGCUGAAUCAGAAGUGGAGCAGCCAGGACUUGAACCAGCACCCAUAUGGGACACCAGAGCUGCAGGCUGGGGCUUUAACCUGCUGCUCCACUGUGCCAGGCCCCCUGGAUACAGUUUUUAUUCCCAGAGAAAACUACAAGGCAAUUUAUUCCAGUAAUGACUACUGAGUCAUUUAGUGUGUGUUUAUGGAGUGACAACUUUGCUGGAUUCUUUGGAUUCGAUGUUGAGAUAGAUUUGUUCCCUAUUUGUACAUUACCAAGCUGUAAUCCUUAGGAAAAGAAAUAUCCUGUCUUGUUUAAAACUGGUUUCAAAAUCUUUAAAGAAAUGCUGGAAAUUACUUAGAUUAACUGCUCUAGACUUUGUACCACUCAUGCUGGCCAGGGUGAAAUCUCACCAUUCAUUGUCUUUAAAGGCUCUGGGAGCCCGAGAACUCGCUCUAUACCAGCCUGCUUUACCAAAUGACAUUGAGAACAGAAGCAGCACUCUGGAUGAUACGAGUGGGUAGUGCCAGAGUCGUUAUAUAAGCUGCUAGAAAUUCUGCCUCGAGGUUGCAUUGUGAGUUGUCAGGUUUAAAAUUCUCUCCCGUUAGCUCUAUGGUUUUUGCUCUUUGCCAUUCUGGGAAAAGAGAGAACUUUCUGCCCUGGAAUUGGUGGCAGCUUCCCCAGAGACAGGAGGCAGGCUUCCUGGAGUGAAUCAGAAAUUGGGAAUUCCUAAUCUUUCUGUCUUGUCCUCUGUGCCACACUCUGCUCAGUCUUUUUAACAAGAUUUAUUUAGUUAUUUACUUAUUUAUUUGAAAGGCAAAGUUACAGAGAGAUCGAGAGAGAGAGACUGAGAUCUCCCAUCCACUGGUUCAUUCCCCAAAUGGCCAUAACAGUUAUAGCUGUACAGAUCAAAGCUAUGAGCCAGGAGCUUCUUUUGGGUCUCCCAUGUUGGUGGCAGGGGCCCAGGGACUUGGGUCAUCUUCUGCUACUUUUCUAGGUGUAUUAACAGGGAGCUAGAUCAGAAGUGGAGCAGCUGGGCAUCCCAUAAGGAUGCCAGUGCUGCAGGCUGUGGCUUAACCUUCUUUGCCACAGUGCCAGCCCCUCUAUUUAGUCUUUAUACAUACAUACAUACAUAUAUACACACACACACACACACACACACAUAUAUAUAUAUAUAUAUAUAUAUAUUUGAAAGGCAGAGAGAGAGAGAGGUCUUCCAUCCACUGGUUCACUCCCUAGAUGGCUGCAGUGGUCCAGAGCUGUGCCGAUCUGAAGCCAGGAGCCAGAAGCUUCUCGGUCUCCCACAUGGGUGCAGGGGCCCAAGGACUUGGGCCAUCUUCCACCAUUUUCCCAGGCCAUAAGCAGAGAACUGGAUCAGAAGUGGAACAGCUAGGACUUGAACUGGCGCCCCUAUGGGAUGCUGGCACUGCAGGCAAUGGCCUGACCUGCUAUGCCACAGCACAGGUCCCUCUAUUUAGUCUUAAUCCUGAGUUCCUGUUACAGGCAGAGUAUUGGAUGGUAUUGUUGUUCAGAGAGAUAGCUAUGAUAUAUACAUUGCACUCAAAGAACUUAGUCUGAUUAGGGAAAUGGGAUAAAUACAGUAAAAACUAAAUAAAAAACAAAAGCAGAAAAAUUUCAGACAAGUAGUAUUUGUGCAGUGUGCAUACAGCAAUGGCAAGAACAGGGCCUUACAGUUGAAAACCUGAGUUCCAGAACCUGGUUUUCUGUCCACAAAGAGACCUCUUUUUUCUCUAGUUUACUCGUCUGUAAAAUGGGGAUAAUGACCUUGAACCUGCCUGACUCUCCAGGACAUCAUGAGUAUCCCGUGGUAUGGUAUGCAAGAAACUUUGGAAAACACAAAUUAAAAUAUGAGCACAGGGAGAGAGUGAUCUCACCCCAUCCCACAGAUGAAAAAGCUUGCUCGUAGCCCUCCAUGCUUGUGAUGAAACAGCCAUUUGUAGCUCUGACACAAAGUGGAACAAGUUACUUAGCUUUUCUCUCCUUUCAUUGACCUUGUCUGCUACAAGACUGUUAAGUCUCUGAUAUGCUGUUGGCCUCAUAUAAAUUCUGUUUUGGUAGAGUGUGAGUAAGCUUAUGGCUCUGGAUUUUAUCCUAAGGAUAUUGGUUAUAGAAAUGUAUUGUCACCUGAUUCAUUGGACUUAGAAAAGGUUUAAGACAAAACUGUACAAUAAAAAUAUAAUUUUAAUUGUAAGUAUGAAAUUUUGAAUUUUCUGGUAGCCAUGGUUAAAAAAAAGUCAAAGGACACAGGCCAAAUUAUUAAUAGAUUUUAUUUACCACACUAUGUCCAUGAUAUUCCCAUUUCAACAUGGAAUCAGUGGAAAAAAUUAUUAAAAUUUGUUCUUUUUUUCAUAGUAUGUCUUCAAAGCAGAACAUCUCAUUUGCACGCCCACUUUUCAGGUGCUUAGUAGCCACCUGUGGCUUGAGGCUGCUGUAUUAGAAAAUGCAGCCUUCUGCAACAUCCAUUCUCCCCUCUUUUUGUUCUCUCGUACCUUCUUUCUUGUCCUGUUUUCCUUUAGUGGAUCUGCCAGUUCUCCGUUUCAUUAGUCCCUGGAGAGGCAGGUUUCUUUGAUGCCUAGAGCCAGGUAUCCUUGUUCGGUCAGGUAAAACACAAAACUUGCGGUUACUAUUUGACAUCAGCUCAUGUUCCCGUUCCCGGUGCUGUUCCUUCUCUGUGGACUUCCCGCUCUUUUGAAGUGAGCUUCCCUCUUGCUUUACUUGUUUGUCUCUUCUUUGUUUUGUGCUCCUUGAGAAUGAGGAAAGCACUUUAAACCUUUCUGCAGUUCUAGCAACCAGUCCCCAGCUUUUUUUAUAUAUAUAAAUAAGUAAGCUUCUCCUACACACCUCACUAGCUCCUUUUCCCCUCAUUAGUAAUUGUUUUUUCACCUUUUUCUCCAACAAUAGCUUUGCCAUAGCAUUAGGCUAUUGCACAUACAAGAAACUUUUAUUUGUAGUUUUAACUACUUGUAGAAAAACUUACAGCUAGAAUUUUAGAUCCACUGCGUGGGGUUUUUUCCAGAGAUUCCUUGUCCUUUCGGGUUGUCUGAUUGAACGCAGGUGCGGAAGCCGUUGGAGUCUGUUUGGAGGCUUGUCUCCGUAUCUGCCUGUGUUGUGAUUCCUGGAGUUUGCUCAGGUUCGUUUCCUCUCUUCUCUCCAAGAUAUCUGGCUUUACCCUGUCUGUCUGGACCUUCCUUCACACUGAGUUUUUUAUGCAGUCAACUCCUAUUGACUUCAAGUUGAGUGCUUAUAAUAGCAACUUAUCAUGAAACCACAAAGUCAUAGAAGAAUUACCUUAGAGGUUCACAUGCCGGGGUUUUCAUAGUGUUUGCUUUUUGAACAAAUCUUUAGACAGAGCCUUAUAAUAUAACUAGGAAAAGAUGGAAUGUCUUUGGUUGAAAUGGUGCUGCAGGUCCCCAGAAAUACUCUGGGGCUCCACAGAACAUGGUUUGAGGACCACUGUUCUAGUUCAGCUCCCACCCAGCACAAGUGGAAUAACAGAAGACUUUAAGAACAACGCGCCUAAUGCACACAGCAAGCUAGCAACGGACCUGGACUGGAAUGCAGGUUUCCUUUCCAGGCCAGUGCUCUGUUAACCACAACUUACUGUUUAGAACUUCAUUUCCUAAGGGUGGAGGGAACAGUAACAAUAAGUCUUUUAUUGUGUUCUCCUUGUUGAGAUCUGACAGGGUCCACCUCUGCUUCCCCGCUAGAAAACCAGGUUGGCCCCCUCGUGUUAUUGUUUUUCCCUGGGGCCCAGGCUGGGGCUUGCCUUAGCCUUUGUUCUGUUCCCAGUUUUUGUGGUGCCAAGAAGGAUAGGGAGAGAGCGGAUUCAGGCAGGUCAUGGUGGCACAGAUGUUUCCUGUGCCUUGGCCAGUCUGGCUGUGUCUUUCACAGCAAGCCAAAUGCCACGGCCAGGUGUGUUUUUCAGGGCUUCCAAGCCCUUGGAGGUGGUAGGUGUUUGUAACCGCAAUUUCCUCAUUAGCUUCUGUGUUUCAGCGGCCUCUAGCCACUUACCUGAGGGAAUACGUCGCAGCCUCAACUCUGAGAGUCAUCCAUCAUCCAGAGCUCUGUGUGAGCCGGCCAUAGCCUACCUCUGCAUUCUUAUUUCCCACUGUCUGCUUCAUGUAUGCUGUGUUUUCUCCCAAGGUACUGUGUUUUCCACCCCUUCUUCCUCACCUCUGCUUAUUAAGAUCGCACUCAUCCUUCCAGAUCAUACUUAAAAGCCGCUUUUGUCAAUAAGCCUUUCUUAAUUUCCAACUUUGUGUCGUCUCCCUCUGUUGAAGAAUCAUAGCUGCUUAGCCUCGUCUGUUAUCAUUCCCUGCUUCAUAGUUUAUGUACGACAACUUUGCACCAUGUCCUCCCUUGCUUAUGCUGUCCAUUUGCCCAGAUUUCUUCCAGCGUAUCUUCCUGACCCCUUCCAGGCUGGAUUAGGCUCCUUUCAUAUAGAUUAUACCUUUUUACUUAUUACUGUAUUUUAUCUGUUUGUGUUUGAGUCCCACACUAGACAGUUUUCCAAGAGGCUUAAUCGAUGCUUUGUCUUUCUAACAUCCUGCAGCGUUUUACUCAUGGCAGAUGGGUGCUUUCAUAAAUAUUGUGGAAAGAGCGAAUAAAUAAUUUUUGAAUUGUUAUAAUGUCUUGAGUUAUAUUCCUCUUUUUAUAGCUAUUUAUCUACUGCUAGAGUACAAGCCCUGUGAGAACAGGGAGGGUGAUUGCAUCUUAAUCAUCUUUUUGCCCCCUAGAAGGCCUUAUUCAUAGCAAGUUCAUUAGUCACAGUUCUCCCCAGAAACACACACGCUGGGAUUGGUGGAUGGAUGGAUGGAUGGAUGGAUAGAUAGGAUUUUAUUUAAGGAAUUAGCUCCUGUGAUUGUGGGAAUUGACUAGUCCAAAAUAUGUAGGGCAAGUUAUAGACUAGAAAGAUGGGCUUAUCUGAUGUUGCAGACUUGAGUCUGAAAUCUGUAGGGCCAGCCAGCGGGCUGGGACUUCUAUUGAGGUCUUAUGGCAGAAUUUCUUCUUCUCUGGGAAACUCCACUUUUUCCUCAUAAGGCCUUCAACGGAUUAGAUUAAGAUCACAGAUGUUUUCCGUGGUAAUCUUCCUUACUUGCAGUCAACCGAUUGUAGAUGUUAAUCACAUCUUAAAAAAUACCUUCACAGCAACACCCAGACUAGUGUUUGACCAAACAACUGGAACCAUAGCCUCCCCAAAUUGAUACUUAAAAUUCACUAAUCACAGCAAGUGACCAAUCAAUGUUGAAUUGAAGUAUCCUUUUGAAUUUCUUUUGUAAACCUCAGAAAAGAGGACAAUCCUACUUCUGUUCCCAGCAGUAAUUUCAACCCAGUAAUUUAAAAAUCCCCCACCACUAAACUCUUAACAACUCUGAAUACGGAAUAACAACAUCCUUUACAAUACAUAGCUAACCUGAAAAUAAAGUAACGGAAUCUCCAGAGGCCCAAAGACAGAAUGAGUAGCAAGCCAGUGUGAGGCUAUUUGUUAUAACAGGCCUCCUGGGAAACCUUUGUUGGUAACCUUGGGGCUUGAAUUCUAAUAUCCGUACAGCAAAAGGAGGUGAUGACUUCAGUCUUCACAAGACAAGGCGUUAAAGCUGAGACCUGCAAGUGAAUACACAUGUUGAUACAUAGACAGAAGAAAAUUGUUUAUCUCAGCCUGUGCUCUGGAUAGAAAAAAAAAAUUCUCCUUUGAGAAUUCAUAGUCAUAGGUCUGUCUUCCUUUGGAUUUGGAGUGUGGAUCUAUACUACUGGCUGAUCAAUUUUUGAGCUGUAUUUUAUAGCAAAAAAGCAGACUUCCUUAGAAGCUAUUUGUUUUAAAAUGGGAUUAGAAAUUGUUGCAUCCAGCUGCUUUUUAUUACAAAAAUUUCUUAAAUUUCAAAAGUUAAAUAUAAUAGAAAAGCAUAUGUGAAAUCAAAUAAUUUAGAAAAUUAUUGGUAAGCUGUGAGACUUUUUAAUGGAUGCCAUAUUUUAGAAGUAGUGAAAAGAGAUGUACUUUUAGAGGAUCUGCUCUGGAGACUGUCUGAUUUUGAAUCCUGAAUCUCCCACCCAUGGGUUGUAUAACCUUGAAUAACUUACUUGAUCUCCCUGUACAUUAAUUAACUGUAAAAUUGAGAGAUAAUACUAACUACCUUAUAUGACUGAUACGAGGAUUAAUUGAAUAAGGUGUAUAAAGUACAUAGCACAAUUUAAUUAUUAUAAAGAACUUAAUAAAUAUUAGAUACUAUUAAAUUUAUUGUAGUUAAUGAAAUUCUGGUCCUCAUACUCUGGAUAAAUAAUAUACUUUUGGUAGCACUAUUUUAUUUUUAUUCUUUGUGUUAAAGCUGUUUGAGGUUUUUCCUUUUCCUUUCCCUUACCCAAUGCCUUGUAUACAACUAGACAAAUAAUAGGUACAAAUAUUGGAUUUUUGUUGAUUAAGUUUAUGAGGAUUAUAGUGUUUUAAAAGAUUUAUUUAGGGUCCAGUGUUGUGGCAUAAUGGAAAAGCCUGCACCUGUGGCACUGACCAUCCCAUAUGGACAGCAGUUCACGUCCUGGCUGCUCUACUUCGGAUCUAGCUCGUUGCUAAUGGUUUGGGAAAACAGUAAGGGAUGGCCCAAGUGUUUGGAGAUGUGGAUAAAGCUCCUGGCUCCUGGUUUCAGCCUGGCCCAGCCCUGGCCAUUGCAGCCAUCUGGAGAGUGAACCAGCACAUGGAAGAUCUCUCAAUCUCAAUCUCUAUCUCUGUCUCUGUCUCUCUCUUUAUGACUCUGCCUUUCAAAUAAAAUUUUAAAAAUAAUUUAUAGAAUGUUUCAUUAUAAUAGCAUUAAUAAUAAAAAACAACUUUUCAAAGGAAUGUGUCUAAACACCAGGCUGAUCAGUUUGAAUUGGGUUUUAAAGCUGUGUUUUAGAGGUUGUUGAAGGUCAGGAGUAUUCCAGUGGGUGAUUAGAGGUUGUUAAAAGGAUAAGCAAGUUCACCAAGGAGAGGAAAGCCAAAACAGCACCAUGUGUUUGUGCGCUUCUCUUCUGAGGCAUGAGCUUCCCACUCUGGGCUGGACUUUGUAUAAUGAAGAGCCCAUUAGAUUGGGAAGGCAUCAGCCUUGGCACUGUGUUCUUGGGCCAUUUUUCUUCUUUACGUCUCAAUUUCCUUGACUGUAAAAAUUAGAAGGUAGUAUCUAAGGGCCAUUUCUCCAUUUGGAACCUAGGUAGUUGUUGCUAAACUUGAGAAUGUCUUGGGAACCCAGGGCAUGGCUCUUCCAAGAAACUGCCAGUUUUCCUUAUAGCCUGCCAGAAUUCAGUAGUUUGUGCCUAUUCUGGUGAAUAAUAUCUCCCCCUGAAUGGGUGCCAGUUGGAAAAUUGUAGAAUGGAAUGUGCCACCUGGGUUUGGAUUUGGAAAUCCAAAGUGUUAUUGCCUUGAGAUAUAGGAUGUUUCUGCUGAGCCACAGUGGUGAGUGGGCUGAUAAAACCAGCCACAGCAGUUUGUAGUUGGACCAGGAAAAGAGGAUCAAGUCUUCUUUGCUAAUGAGAGCAGAAUGUGGGAAGAUCUUGUUUUGUCGUAGCAGUUUGAUUUAUGAACCAUGCAAUGGUGAUGUAGAAUCACAACCAGAGUCGCUGCAUCGUUAGAGUGAUAAAUAAAACUCCCUAAGCUUCUGUUAAGCUCAGCUGUUUACGUUCUUUGCCGCACUUGAUCUCAUAAGCACUCUAAAUGGCAAUCAUGUCCUCAGUUUCUGCAUCCUAUUAUAUCAUUUAGUGAUUUCUGUCUUUUGAUCGCCAGUCUUCAGUAUGAAGGAGGAUUGCCUUUUUGCUGUAAAUGAGGUGAAAUGGACCAACGGCAAAGGAAGACCUUUCUCCCUCUCUCUCUCUCACUGUCCACUCUGUCAAAAAAAUAAAAAUAAAAAAAGUAAAAAAAAUAAAAAUGAGGUGAAAUGGAAAGUAAUAUUGUCUGUGUCUAACUGUUUGAACGGGUCCAAUAUUCCCACUCUCUGACCUCUUGUUUCCUCAUAAGUAAAAUAAGUAAAAGGCCACUAAGCAAAACUUUCCCUCUCAAAGGUUGAAGGAAUCAUCAUGUUAAUUUCUCAUAUUCUGAUGAUGAUAAAAUAUAUGAAUGCUUCAACAAGUGGCAUAUUGAUUUGUACUUAAAAUAGAACAUUAAGAUGGAGGAUGUUCUUGUCACACAUUGAAGUAAAUUACCAUAUUUGUUCUAUAUUUAUAAAUGUGUGAUCAGCAUUUGAAUGAUGAAUUCAUUUUGUUGAAAUGUUGCCGUUUGAUAGGACUCACACAGGCACAUGUUUAACCCUUUGAUUUUUACAUAAAAAGAGGGAAGAACCUAAAGUGUGUGGGCUGGAGUGUGCUAAGUACUUUACAAACUCACUUAUUCAUUUAGUAAAUAUUAGGACACCUAACAUGUACAAGACACUGUAACAGAGUCGAGCAUAUCAUAGAUAUAGCAGCUACCUAAAUAGCAAGGGUCCUAUUCUCUUUCUCUCCCUUUCUCCCUCCUUCCUCCUCUCUCUCUUCCCCAUCCUCUCCUUCCCUGCCUCCCUCGCUCUCUCCUCACUGCUCCCCUGGUGUUGUGUGUGUGUGUGUGUGUUGUGUUUAGUGUGCACAUGCUGUCAAGGAGAUGUGGGAUGGAGUUAGUUUGGCCUACUUCUAGUCCUGCUCCCUCUGCUUUUGGAAGCCCUGGCUGUUGUCAGGGGUUUGGACAAGGACUGAAGCUGAGCAGGGGCAGAGUAGGGACCCAUGGUCAAGACCCAAGGCCACCCGCUGGACCCAUGAAACCAGGAAUGGAGGUGUUUCUGUGAGCUAGUCCUGCAGCCCUCUCAACAGGCCACCUGCUGGACCAUGGUUUCAUGUGCAUGACCAUCUAGAAUUUUAUUUUCUGGAGCAAAUGAAUCUAACAAGCAGAAUAAAUACACAGAGUAUAAAGCAAAGGACAGACCAUUAGAGAAUCUAAGAAAGGUGCUGUCUAAACCAAGAGGGACUUUUCUCAUUGAGAGGCAAACAGAAACUGAGAGGAGGGGCUUGAUAAUAAUCAGGUGGGCGUUAAGGCCUGGCCAGGUAUAUAUGAGGUCCAGACCUAUCUCUUCAAAUGGGGUGCUGGAAGAGACAUCAUAAGAGAGAUGUUAACCUCCUUAGGGAAGAUACCCUGGUGACUUCCACUGCCUAACUGGCCUGGAGGAGGGCUGGCCUGAAUAGGAGGUCAGUAUUCCAUAGGCGGAUCUCUAAAAGCAAAUCUACAGCCCUGCCUGGAUUGUUACUGACCUUAGGCUGCCCCCCACCACGAUGGUGAUUUCUCUGGAAGCUGGGCAGAGUGAGGGACUUUUUAGCGUGGGGCCAAUAGGGUUUGCAGUUCUGACCCCGGAGUCUUUCAACCCCUAGGGCAGUUCUGUUUCCAGUGGCCUGGCUCUUGGCAGAGCUGACAGCUGCUUGCCCAAUGCCCUGACUCCUCAUAUUGAAAACAGGUGCCGUUUGGGGGUGGACUGGCCUUGUUGGGUCUCCUUGAUGGCAGAUCAUCAUGUAAGGCAUCCAUUAAUUGGCCUCUACCUAUUCUUACAUUGCUUUUGCUGCCUCCUCUUUCUGCUGGUCUCUGUUACCAUAGAACACAGAGAAACCCUUUAGGAAUGUCAGCCAAGGGGGCGCUCAAUCUCAUCCCUAAUCUUUGGUGGCCUGGGCUGGAAAUCUGUGGUCAUAGGCAUGUUAUGACAAUAUUCUUCCUAUGAGAUAAGAUUGUGCUCAUGAGAAAAGCUGUGUCCUUCUGUGUAAGACCAAACAUUAAGACUACCUUAUCCAAACUGUGUUAUAUAAGGUCUAAAGAUCAAACUAUACAUCCGUUUGGAGAGUCCUACGGAAUAGAAUCAGUUUUCCAUCUUGAAGAGAAUGGAGGAGAAAUGAGGGGACAAGUCAGGCUUCCCAGAUUGCCUGCUGUCAAUAGCUUAACAACAAGUGAAAACUUAGUAAAGAAUUUUAGCUGUCAAAUAACUUACAAAAACAUUUACCAAAAGGUCCAAUGCCUUCCAAAAGUUUCCUUUAUAUUUCUUGAAUAUUUUUAUAUUUCUUUAAUAUCUAACACAAGUGUAAUUCAAUUAAAACAGAAUUCUCCCAUGUAGCCAUACACUAUGUAUACACGUAUAACACAUUACAGGAGAGAGAACAACAGAACAGUUUCAGUUAUUAGCAGAGAUCUUGGCUGCCACUGGAAAAGGAGGGGAAAGCUAGAGGGAGGCUGGGCAUGGAGAAUAUUUUUGGGGCGAAGUUGCUCAGGACUUAACACUGCUCUGGACUUUGGUUGCUUGUGUGCUUUUUUUUUUUUUUUUUUUUUUUUUUUUUUUUUUUUUUUUUUUUGCUAGCCCUGCCAAAUACAAUACUAGAGAUGGCUGGAACAGAGGUUUCAUCUUCAUACAAGAUGUGGCUCCAUUAUGUUAGGUUUUAGGAUUUUAGUGUUUGUAGAAGAGGUGGUGGCUCGUUAAAAAAGACUUUAUUUUAGGGAAGACGGAAUGAGACGGGGUAGAGGAAGAGUAGGGCUGAGCUCUCCCCAGCAGGGGUGGGGUGGGGGUGGGGGUGUUGCAGCCAGGCUUCCUUGAGUUAAAACAGCAGAGUCCUUUCUGGAGGCGCAGAGCACCUCAUGGACCCGGAAAGGUGGGCGGAAGAUGUGAGAACGACUCCCAGGUGAAGUUUACGGUGUUCGGAAUGUCCGAGGUCGGGGACUUUCCAGAGCAGUAAGCAUUCUGCUAGCCUUUACACUAUCCUGCGCCAAGCAGAAGAGAAUGGCGGGACAGCGGAGGCGUCAGGAAGAGGAGAGAGGCGAUUUUGGCUGCGAGAGGCGGGGGAAUGGGGAAGAGCCAGACAGUGGGCAGGGUGAGCAUUCCUGAGAGAAGAUCAAGAGUGGAAGAAGGGAAAGUCUGGAAGAAGCUUCAAGCCUUUCUCCUGCCCGGGGCCUUGGAAUGAGGAAAGCUGACCUCAGAGGAGGACGAAGGCAUAGAUGUAGGGGAAUCACAUGUGUCUGCCAGAGAGGACUCACCAGAGAGAGGCUCGGGAAAGUCAGUAUCACCCGGAGCGGGGGGUGGGGGUCCGACAGGGAGGUUUUUCUUCCUUGGGGAGAACAGGAUAAAGAGAGUUCAGGGGAGAAUGGGGGUGGCAACUGCCCCUGCUGCCACUGGCCAGAGGGAAGAGGACUAAGUGGAGGGCUGUGUGUUCCUGGGAUGCCGGCUUCUCAAGAGAGGAGCGGGAAGGGAGAGGUGGGGAGGUAGAAGACUUAAGGGGAGGCUCCAGGCCCUCUUCCUCCAUGAGAGCUUGGAGUGUGGCAAGUUGACCCUGGAGGAGGAAAGAGGCCUGGAAGAGGGGACCUCUGACCAUUUGCCAUUUCUCUAUGUAAAGUUAUUAAAGUCGUAGAGAAUUUUGAGAUGAAAAUGCCAAAUUAGAAUCAUUGUCCAAUUUAUACUGAGGCCAAAUUUUGGUGCAGAGAUGGAUUAAUCAUCUCCACUUUUCCUCCCCCUUCAGGCCCAGCUUGCACAAGUCUUCCAAGAGGCAGGCCAGAGGGGAGUUGAAAUUUGGAACCCAUGGAUUAAGCAAAGAGGGUCCUUUCACAGUGUGUCCCCCGGGAAAGAAUUACCCCCACCAAGAAUCUAAGUUCUGAGUCCUCUAAGAGGUGAGAAUGAGAAUCCCCAUGCUUAGACCAGUAUCCCAGUUCUAAGCUGUGAGGGAUGAGCAUUUACCCUGAGCCAGGCCUGGGAGGGGUGAUGAACCAGUCGCAAGCAUUACCCUAGCGUUACCAAUCCAAUGCAUUGAGAAUUAGGUCCAGUGUGAGAUGUAGUGAUGAGAUCUGGCAAAGUCUCUGGCUGUGAGUUCGUUGGGAAAUGAGAAGUACAAGCGGGAGUGAGAACGUGUUCUGGAGAGGGGUCUCGCAGGGCGUCAGGGUCAGAAGGGAAAGAGGAGAUUGUAGGAAAGAGAAGAUAGGAAUGAGCAGAGACAGUAAAACGGAGAAGUUCAGAAAGGAGAACAGAGUUCAGAGGAAGGGUGGGGGAUCAGAGCUCUUACCCAGAGACCAGGUCCUUCGCUCCCCUCCUUACAUAGGGCACCAAAUAUAAGGAAAAGCAGGGUGCAGAUUGGUGUCUCCUCACACGGGCCACCAAAUAUAAGGAAAAGAGGUGCAGAGCAGAGAGGAGACAGAAUACAAACUUGCAGCCAGGCUGAAUUUAUUCAAAGAAAAUAAAUCCACAAAAGUUGACUAACUGUUACCAUGUACAUAGACUGAAAACGUGGCAGAGGGCCCAGACCCCAGCAGCGGGGACAUUUUUGUAUCUUAGGUGAGCUGGGGUGGGGGUUGGGAGUAGUAGGCAGAGGUGAGCUGCUCCAUAGUGAUUCUUCAAGUUUGGCCCACUGACUUCCAAACCUGGGGAUGAAUGCAAGAGGUAGGGUGGGGAACAAUACAGGGAUACCGGGUGUGAGACUGAACUGGUCUUUUGAAAGAAGGCAGGGGUAGCAAGAACCUAAAAUGGCUGGGGCUUAUGCCCUUGUUCCAUCAGCAUGUGAGUGGAAGAUGGAGUACAGGGCUCUUGCAUGUGCUUGUGCAGGUUGUCUGUGCACGAGGUCAUCUGACCGAGGAGACCAGCGGAGGCUGGAGGGCAGCCAGGCCAGGGGUCCCAGUGGGGAAAUGUGUGCUGUAUAGGCACCCAGAGAAAGGGGUGCCUUUUUGUGAUUGACAGUGGGAGACAGAUUAGAAAGAAAAGGAUGAAGCUGGAUGGUGGGGGACUUUCCUGUGUCUAGACUACUCCAGAAGGGUGGAAGUGCACAGUGGUGAUUGUGAGUAUGAUUGGUGACCUACCUAGAGGUCUACUAGGAGCUCUGUCAGUCCUAGGAGUCCUGUUUAUCUGGCAGAAAAUCAAUCUGUAUCUUUUGGAAAUUAUAUUUGCCUGGUCUUUCUGCAAAGCAAACUGAUCCACUUUGCUGUGCUAUCAAAUCAGCCUGGUUUAAUUGUAUAAGCCAGUCAGGGAAAGAGAACCUGUCCCAUGACUCCAAAGCAUUCUGUUCUGCAGCUCCCUAUAAUUACAGACAAAUGCAUCUAAUCUUCCCGUCAUGUGUUCUCCUGAGUUGCAGGAUUUUUUUUCUUUUCAGUAUUUGAUAAUCUCAUUAUCUUGUGAUUCUGUAUCAUUUAAUUAUUCCCCAAAAUAGAUAUCUUCAGAAAAUCUGCUUAGAUAAAAUGAGUUGCUGUUCCCAACUGAAGUCACAGCUGGGAUGUUUUCUCAGAAAUUUUUUUUGGAGCUUUGAGAUGUUGUUUUUCUUAAGGGAUCUCAUCUGCCAUCAGAGGCUGUUGAAGCCUUCCUAUAGAUUACCUGAAGAAUUUCAUAAAGUCUGGAGAAAAACAGGGGGUGGGUGCAGAAGUCUUCAAGUGCAGGACUAACGAGACAGAGGGCUGGAAUGCAGGUGCUAUCAGACUGCACUGGGUGACUGAUGGUCACCUCCCAGUGUCUGUAUGCAUUUCCUGAUCAUCUCCCUUGUCACACAGUAGAACGGGCAUUGGGGAUACGAAAAUGAGUGCUUGCUCAGACCCAGUCCCCAUCUAAAGAAGAAUACAGUCUCUCAUCCUGAUUAUCAGAAGGUUCGGAAUGUAGUUUCACAAGCUCUGCCACCUACUUACAGUACCUUGAGGACAUCCUUCAUCGGAGCCUCGUUUUCCUGUGGGACGCUGAGGUGGUGUUCUUGUAAGAGGCACCAAGUGUUGUGAGGUGAGUCUGGGUUACCUGAGAUUAGUGACAGUGCAUCCAUACACAGCCACUCAGUGUUCUUCGGUUCUUGACCUUUACAGACUAAAGGGGAUUCAUUAUUUUAGUUUUCCUAAAAUCGGAGCUGCUUCAUUUUGUUCUGUUUUUCUUGGAAUGUUUGUACUUUGAUGGUGUCAUUAGUAUUUAGUGAGUGGACCUUGAUAUGCUACAAGUAUGAAACUUGUGACUUGGACAAGGUGAAGGCAGAGAGGAAGAAAUACAGUGUACUGGAUUUCUUGCAAACUUUCUGGUCACUAACAUUUUCCCUCCUUUCACUGUCCCAAUCUCAUAUGUUCUCUGUGACAGCUCACAGGACCAUCUUAAGGGAACAAGUUUGUUGUUCCAAGAUCCUUUACCCGGUUAUAGUUGAACACUCCAGUUCAUGAUCCUCUGAUAAGAUUAUUUCCUCUGAAUGUGUUUUCUUACACUUAGUCACAUUAAAACUCCUCUGCCACUUUUCUGCCCACGUCCACAUCUUCUUUGAGUUUAUCCCUAAUCAGCCUGGCAUUUUAAUCCCUGGAAGAGCUGAAUGCCAUCUGCAAACUUGGCAAUUUCCCCGUGCACUCUUUUCUAGAUCAUUUCUAUGCGUGUUGACAAAGACACCAUGAAGCUUGUUCCCGAGGUAGGAAGAGGCUUAGUUAUAUAGCAUUUGAUUUAACAGCUUCAUUGCUGAAUUAAUAAUACCAAGAACCAGCCACAGGAUGUUAUCUUUUUUUUUUUGACAGGCAGAGUGGAUAGUGAGAGAGAGAGACAGAGAGAAAGGUCUUCCUUUUGCUGUUGGUUCACCCUCCAAUGGCUGCCGCACCGCACUGAUCUGAAGGCAGGAGCCAGGUGCUUCUCCUGGUCUCCCAUGGGGUACAGGGCCCAAGCACUUGGGCCAUCCUCCACUGCCCUCCCUGGGCACAGCAGAGAGCUGGCCUGGAAGAGGGGCAACCGGGACAGAAUCUGGCGCCCUGACCGGGACUAGAACCCGGUGUGCCGGCGCUGCUAGGUGGAGGAUUAGCCUAUUGAGCCGCGGCGCCGUCCAGGAUGUUAUCUUUAUCUCAAAAAAAAAAAAAAAAAAAACAAA